GACGGAGGAUGCAAGCGUUAUCCGGAAUGAUUGGGCGUAAAGCGUCUGCAGGUGGCAGUUCAAGUCUGCUGUCAAAGACCGGGGCUUAACUUCGGAAAGGCAGUGGAAACUGAACAGCUAGAGUAUGGUAGGGGCAGAGGGAAUUCCUGGUGUAGCGGUGAAAUGCGCAGAUAUCAGGAGGAACACCGAUGGCGAAGGCAGCUCGCUGGGACGGUACUGACGCUGAGGCGCGAAAGCGUGGGGAGCAAACAGG
rnacentral:rRNA from 1 species